UACGUAGGGCGCAAGCGUUGUCCGGAAUUAUUGGGCGUAAAGAGCGUGUAGGCGGCCAGAUAGGUCCGUUGUGAAAACUGGAGGCUUAACCUCCAGCGGUCGAUGGAAACCAUUUGGCUAGAGUCCGGAAGAGGAGAGUGGAAUUCCUGGUGUAGCGGUGAAAUGCGCAGAUAUCAGGAAGAACACCCGUGGCGAAGGCGGCUCUCUGGGACGGUACUGACGCUGAGACGCGAAAGCGUGGGGAGCGAACAGG
rnacentral:rRNA from 1 species